GGGAGGCAGAAGAUACUGAAAAUGAGUCCCCAGUGGGUGUCUUUACCGAGCUAAUGUGGUCCUGGGUUUGCUUCACUCUCAUCAUCUCCGGUGUCUUUCCAAUCGCCGUUCCUGAAUUAACUUUGAAAAAGAUGUCACCACCUGGAAAAGAUGGUGAUAGUUCAUAUUCAACAACAAGAAGUCACUAACAAAGUGCAAGAUGAUUUGGGACUGAGAUAAUAAGGAUAACACUGUAACUGUCUGCAAGGCAUGGUCAGGAUUUGUGUUCAAUUCAAGGAGACAAAAGGAUCACUGCAGAAGAAUCAGCCAAGACAAGCAUUGAGACAAGGAAAUUCAUGGAAAACUGCCCACAGAGAAGGUUCGCCGAGAUUUGAUGUGUAUAGAUGUGAAUAUUUUAGCCUGAGCAUCAGCCAAUAUUUCUAAUAAAAAUCUUCAGUCUUCCCUUGAUAAGAACUUUUAUCAAGGGCCUGGGGCCUUAAUUUAAUAGAUAAUGCAUACAACUUUAUUU